rnacentral:rRNA from 1 species
ACGAACGCUGGCGGCGUGCUUAACACAUGCAAGUCGAGCGGUAAGGCCCUUCGGGGUACACGAGCGGCGAACGGGUGAGUAACACGUGGGUGAUCUGCCUCGUACUUCGGGAUAAGCCUGGGAAACUGGGUCUAAUACCGGAUAUGACCACAGGAUGCAUGUCUUGUGGUGGAAAGAUUUAUCGGUACGAGAUGGGCCCGCGGCCUAUCAGCUUGUUGGUGGGGUAAUGGCCUACCAAGGCGACGACGGGUAGCCGGCCUGAGAGGGCGACCGGCCACACUGGGACUGAGACACGGCCCAGACUCCUACGGGAGGCAGCAGUGGGGAAUAUUGCACAAUGGGCGAAAGCCUGAUGCAGCGACGCCGCGUGAGGGAUGACGGCCUUCGGGUUGUAAACCUCUUUCGACAGGGACGAAGCGCAAGUGACGGUACCUGUAGAAGAAGCACCGGCCAA